UAGAAAAUUGCGGACACUGCCUGCUCUGCCAUAGUUUGAUAUGCAAUUUUCUUUCCCUGUUGCAUCCAGCAAAUGCCUUUCCCGUGUCAUUUAACACGUGGUUCUAAGAGAAAGCCCCAAAGUUUCAAGGAUGAAGAUCACUAUAUAAGUUCAAUACCAAAAAAUCAACAUAUGGAGGCUGGCCUUUCAGUAAAAGCCAAUGAAGGCUU